AUAAAUAACCAUUGAUUUCUGUAAUCCAAUUAAAAUUCUUGAACUGACAAGAAUGAACUGUAACAUUCAAAAAUUCUAACAUAAGGAGCUUCAAAUUCGACAUGCAUCAAACAUUAUGAACCAUUGAUAGUUCACCAAAAGAGUUUCAAGGAGUCUUCCAUUUUCUCACUUCUGUUUGAACCAAGAGGAAAAACACAAGCAAUACUAAAUGAAAAGAUCUUAAUGAUGGUUCAGCCUAAGCAAAACAUGACCAUCCAAGGAUUUUGAUCUUUCGAAUGAAGUUGUACUCAAGACAAAUCAUGCUAACAUGUUUUCCUUAAAGAGAACACUACAACAACAACAAUUUUAAAGAUUUUGCAGAAUGAAAAGUAAUAUCGAUUAGCUCAACUUCAAAUACUAGCCACAAAAACCUUUAGAUCCAUUCCUUUUGAAGAAAAGAAAAAAAGGAACCAUUGUUCAAUUAUGGAUGGUUAAUCAAGAAUUUGGAAAACAUGAAUUCAUUAAGCAAGGGAGAUUCAAAGGAUUUGGCCAAUCGGUGAAAAUUAGUAAAUUGCUUGGGAAAAGAUUAUUUUGGUUUCUAAAUUUCUUUUCUCUAUCAAGUAAGUCAAUGUCCUAUUUAAGAAUGUGAUUUUACCAUUCUUAAAUUUUACCAUUUAUGGUUGAUGAAAUUCCACCACCAUCGCCAUCACCUCCAUAACUCCAUUGCUUCAAGAAUGUGAUUUUUUAAGAAGGAUUCAAGCUUAAAGAAUGUAAUUUUUAUUUCGAAGGUAUAAAUAUUCACCAU
rnacentral:lncRNA from 1 species